CAGCCCAUGGCUGCACGACCCUCUCGUGGCUGAUUCCCACAAGGUGGGCUUCACCGGAAUAGACCCGCAGAGGUAGUUAGUGUGCCAGCGACACGGCCAUCUGUCCCUUUGUUUUGGAUGAGCCCUGACCGUACGAAAGCCAGGAGAGAGGCAGGACGUCAGACCAGUCUCUUGUGGAGAUUGGAAAACUUGCCUGAGUUCUGGGAGUCAGCUCCCAGAUCGUGAGGCCUCAGAGACUCUGUAGCUNNNNNNNNNNGUCAUGCUGCACACCUGUCACCUCCUUCCCUGUAGGCUCUCGUCACAGUCCCUGCAUGCGAAUCUCCAGGCUGGGCCCAGCUCCCCAAGCGCAUGUGGACACGUGUGCCCAGAGAGUGUGCCCGGUGUGUGCACCCGGACAUGACGAGGUAGUUUAAGGUUGAAAACCAGUGUUCUUGGGAAGUGUCCUGAGGGUUGGGUCACUUGAUGACUUGCAUUGGGGUUUCCUGCAAGUACCUGUAGCAGCCUCAGUACUACGUGGUCUGCCACUCCCCAGAUGAACAUGACACGUGACGAUCACCGUUAUGUUAAUCACUGUUCCAUGUGUUGCCUUUAGGGUGGAUGGAAGGGGAAGGGUUUUUUUGUUGUUGUUGUUGUUGUGUUCUUUAUUCCCCCUAUUCUCUUUACUUUUGGUGGCUCAGCCCACACUUGUGCAAUGACUGACUGCACUCCCUCGCCCGGUAUUUCAGGCUUCGUUCUAGGCUCACGUUUCAGAUCUGUAUGCAUUGCUUGCCUUUUCCUGCUAUCAGAAUGUUGGUUCCUUGUUCUAGGAGCCCAACAUAAGUUUCCAAAAUUAUCAUGGGACUUGUGACCGUACAGGACCUGAACCUGUAUAAAAUGUCCCAGCCUUCCUCACUGACCUGCUCUACUGUUCUGGUUUCAUGUACGAGUGACAUCCGGCUGCCACGUGAAGCUUCCGAGGAGAACCUUAGAUGCAGACCAUCCUUUUUUUGCAUGCUUUAUUCUAAGUAGGAUGUUCAAUGUAACUAACUGAACUUGCAUGUGAAAGAUAUUUAGCUUUUUUUGUUUUCUAUCUUUGUUUUUAUUUGUUUUCAGUUUUCUGUAUAUUUGCUUCCUGUGCCGUUUUAGUGGUCGUAGGAUGAAAGUGCACUGGCGAAGCCAUGCAGUGCCAGCAGCAGGUGACUUCCCAGCUCUGUUGUGCAGCAUUUGAAGCGACUGUGCAUUCUCGAAGCCUCACAGUUACUUCUAAACCAGAGUUUAUUUCUGUCCUUGUUUUACGUGCCAAACCCCAAAGUGCAUUGGGCUUGAAUCUCUGAACGCUGUGGACCCAUUAGAGGACUGUUCUGAUUGUCACAAAUUGUAGUGCCUGAAAACAUUCUUAAGCUGAUUGUCUU
rnacentral:lncRNA from 12 species